rnacentral:rRNA from 1 species
UGGGGAAUUUUGGACAAUGGGCGAAAGCCUGAUCCAGCAAUGCCGCGUGUGUGAAGAAGGCCUUCGGGUUGUAAAGCACUUUUGUCCGGAAAGAAAUCCUUGGCUCUAAUACAGUCGGGGGAUGACGGUACCGGAAGAAUAAGCACCGGCUAACUACGUGCCAGCAGCCGCGGUAAUACGUAGGGUGCAAGCGUUAAUCGGAAUUACUGGGCGUAAAGCGUGCGCAGGCGGUUUGCUAAGACCGAUGUGAAAUCCCCGGGCUCAACCUGGGAACUGCAUUGGUGACUGGCAGGCUAGAGUAUGGCAGAGGGGGGUAGAAUUCCACGUGUAGCAGUGAAAUGCGUAGAGAUGUGGAGGAAUACCGAUGGCGAAGGCAGCCCCCUGGGCCAAUACUGACGCUCAUGCACGAAAGCGUGGGGAGCAAACAGGAUUAGAUACCCUGGUAGUCCACGCCCUAAACGAUGUCAACUAGUUGUCGGGUCUUCAUUGACUUGGUAACGUAGCUAACGCGUGAAGUUGACCGCCUGGGGAGUACGGUCGCAAGAUUAAAACUCAAAGGAAUUGACGGGGUCAUAGCUGUUUCC